AGAGUUUGAUCCUGGCUCAGGAUGAACGCUGGCGGCGUGCUUAACACAUGCAAGUCGAACGAUGAUGGGAGCUUGCUCCUGGAUUAGUGGCGAACGGGUGAGUAACACGUGAGUAACCUGCCCUUAACUCUGGGAUAAGCCUGGGAAACUGGGUCUAAUACCGGAUAUGACUCCUCAUCGCAUGGUGGGGGGUGGAAAGCUUUAUUGUGGUUUUGGAUGGACUCGCGGCCUAUCAGCUUGUUGGUGAGGUAAUGGCUCACCAAGGCGGCGAUCAGUAGCCGACCUGAGAGGGUGAUCGGCCACACUGGGACUGAGACACGGCCCAGACUCCUACGGGAGGCAGCAGUGGGGAAUAUUGCACAAUGGGCGCAAGCCUGAUGCAGCAACGCCGCGUGAACGAAGAAGGCCUUCGGGUCGUAAAGUUCUUUUCUCGAGGAAGAAGAAAUGACGGUACUCGAGGAAUAAGCACCGGCUAACUACGUGCCAGCAGCCGCGGUAAUACGUAGGGUGCAAGCGUUAUCCGGAAUCACUGGGCGUAAAGAGCUCGUAGGCGGUUUGUCGCGUCUGCCGUGAAAGUCCGGGGCUCAACUCCGGAUCUGCGGUGGGUACGGGCAGACUAGAGUGAUGUAGGGGAGACUGGAAUUCCUGGUGUAGCGGUGAAAUGCGCAGAUAUCAGGAGGAACACCGAUGGCGAAGGCAGGUCUCUGGGCAUUAACUGACGCUGAGGAGCGAAAGCAUGGGGAGCGAACAGGAUUAGAUACCCUGGUAGUCC
rnacentral:rRNA from 1 species